UCAUUACUUUUUGUAGAUAUAAUGGAUGCCUGGGCUGGAAAGAGUCCUCACGUUCUACUCUCCAAAAUUGGUGCUUACAAAUUAUUCUACUGGGAUAUCCAACAAAUUGGUCCGGACAUGGAGUUGGAAAGUGAGAUCAAACCCAUGGAGCAUGAAGUGAUUCUGGGAAUUGUAAAUGAACAUCAUCACUGGACAUUAGUGGUCAUUUACCCACAAGAAAAGAAGUCGCUGUAUCUUGAUCCACUCGGAGAAACUAAACAAGGUAUCCAAAAUUGUUUGGAAUCAACAAGGGCAUUCAUGCGAAAAAAAGGAUGCAACG